rnacentral:rRNA from 1 species
UACGGGGGGAGCAAGCGUUGUUCGGAUUUACUGGGCGUAAAGGGCGCGUAGGCGGCCAGCACAAGUCAGUUGUGAAAUCUCCGGGCUUAACUCGGAAAGGUCAACUGAUACUGUGCGGCUAGAGUGCAGAAGGGGCAACUGGAAUUCUCGGUGUAGCGGUGAAAUGCGAAGAUAUCGAGAGGAACACCUGCGGCGAAGGCGGGUUGCUGGGCUGACACUGACGCUCAUGCACGAAAGCGUGGGGAGCAAACAGG